GUGCACGCUGGCGGUAGGCCUAACCAAUGCCAGUCGCACGGCAGCACAGUAAUAGUUUGCUCUUACGGGUGGCGAGUGGCGGACUGGUGAGGAAUACAUCGGAAUCUACUUUUUCGUGGGGGAUAACGUAGGGACACCUACUCUUAUACCUUAUACGACCUACGCGUGAAAGCCGGGGAUCUUCGGUCCUUGCGCGACUGAAUGAGCCGAUCUCGGAUUAUCUUGUUGUGGGGGUAAAGGCCCACCAAAGCAAGGAUCAGUAGCUGGUCCGAAAGGAUGAUCAGCACAAUUGGAACUGAGACACGGACCAAAUUCCUAAGGGAGGAGGCGUUGGGGAAUAUUGGACAAUGGGCGAAAACCUAAUCCAGCAAGACCGGGUGGGUGAAGAAGGCCUUCGGGUUGUAAAGACCUUUUGUUGGGAAAGAAAAGCAGAAGGUUAAAACCCCGCUGUUCUGACGGUACCCAAAGAAUAAGCACCGGCUAACUUCGUG
rnacentral:rRNA from 1 species